rnacentral:tRNA from 1 species
CCCCGAGUAGCUCAGCUGGAAGAGCGUUCGGCUGUAACUGAUAGAAAUGGCACCGAAAGGCCACCUGUUCGAGCCAGGUCUCGGGGA